CUGGCAUCUGCGAUUGCAUUUUUCCUGUUUUAACAACGGCUGUGCUAGACGAAGUGGUGAAGCCCAAAGACUUAUUUUUGAGCUCGCUGUAAGACUGAGAAAUCACGUAGUCCUUCCUGAAACCACUAAGAGGAAAAAUGUCUGUGACACUGCAUACAGAUGUAGGUGAUAUUAAAAUUGAAGUCUUCUGUGAGAGGACACCCAAAACAUGUGAGAUGGAGUCUCGCUGUGUCCCCCAGGCUGGAGUACAAUGGCGCGAUCUCGGCUCACUGCAACCUCCGCCUCCUGGGUUCAAGCAAGUCUUCUGCCUCAGCCUCCCGAGAACUGGAAGAGGAGGCAACAGUAUUUGGGGCAAGAAGUUUGAGGAUGAAUACAGUGAAUAUCUUAAGUUUUUGUACAUUUGACAAAUGAUGUCGGGGAGACUUGAGAAAUGGUGAUCCUAGCCUGACAUGUGUACUGGAAUCCCACCACCACGUGGCUCUUGAUACACAAUGUUAGAGGUGUUGUAUCUAUGGCUAAUAAUGGCCCGAACACCAAUGGAUCUCAGUUCUUCAUCACCUAUGGCAAACAGCCACAUUUGGACAUGAAAUACACCGUAUUUGGAAAGGUAAUAGAUGGUCUGGAAACUCUAGAUGAGUUGGAGAAGUUGCCAGUAAAUGAGAAGACAUACCGACCUCUUAAUGAUGUACACAUUAAGGACAUAACUAUUCAUGCCAACCCAUUUGCUCAGUAGCUAUGAUAGACCUGGACAAAUAACUUGACAAAUUGCUGGAACACACUUAUUGUGGUUUACCCGGUUUUAAUUAUGUCAGAGAUUGCAUCAUCCUUCUGCUUGUUUACAACUAUGAUCUUCUAUGAAAUGGUGGUACCAAGGGGCGCCCAACAGCUUUUAUCCCCAUUCUUAGAGCAUAUUCUUUAUUAUAAUGAUUAUCCAACAUAUUUCUUUAAUUUUAAUACAAAAAAUACAUCAUUUAAUUUUUGUUACAUAUGAACAUUCAUUUUUAAAUGCUCAGCCUCAAGUGCAGGCAUUUUUGAGUGGCCUGAUUACAUAUUCCUCCCACAGCAAGUCCGUAUCCUGGAAGUGUUAUUUUAUAAUAAAAUUUAAAAAGUUUUAAA
rnacentral:lncRNA from 1 species